rnacentral:lncRNA from 1 species
CCCCCAUCUCUCUCUCUCUCUCUACCUUCAAAUCUUCAAGACUUGUUCUUCAUUCAAAGCUUUGAAGGUGAUCCAUGGAAGUUGCAAGUUGAAGGGCAUUCAAAGGAGCUUUGUUCUAGUCUUGUUCAUCAUCUUUCUCACCAUCAUCUUCACUAGAAUUUCUACCCUAGCUUUGUGCUAGUACUCAAGCUGCAUUUUUAUGGCAGAAAAAGUGUUGUCGUGUAGCGGACAGGGUUUGAGAUUCGAUUCAAGACGCACUACUGAGCUGUUGCUUAGGAUGUUCGUGACACACUAGGGCGGACCUAUGCCUUAGAGACUAAAAUAAAGAUGGAACCAGUUUAAUUAUGUGAUGAACACUUUGUUUCAGUUAAUUUAAGACUAUGUAACCUUUGCUUGAUGAAUAAAACAAAACUUUUAAUUACCAUGGUUGUGAAACAAAAAUUCUGUUACAACACUCCCCGACGUUUCCGCCACGAUUUGUUGUUUUACGUGGUCGGGGUGUGACAGAAGAGUUGGUAUCAGAGCCAAUGGUUAUAGGGAAUUAGGUUAUUAGUAAUGCUUUGACCUAGACUAUAACCUUUCUAGGACCCCAACACAAGUUGUCUUGUGUUUAGAUUUUAAAACAUGCACUUCACCUAUCCUUAGGUG